rnacentral:rRNA from 1 species
GAGUUUGAUCAUGGCUCAGGACGAACGCUGGCGGCGUGCUUAACACAUGCAAGUCGCACGGUGAUGGCCAGCUUGCUGGUCUGAUCAGUGGCGAACGGGUGAGUAACACGUGAGCAACCUACCCCAGACUCUGGAAUAACCAUGGGAAACGAUGGCUAAUACCGGAUACGAGACGCACACGCAUGUGUGGUGUCUGGAAAGAUUUAUCGGUCUGGGAUGGGCUCGCGGCCUAUCAGCUUGUUGGUGGGGUAGUGGCCUACCAAGGCGACGACGGGUAGCCGGCCUGAGAGGGCGACCGGCCACACUGGGACUGAGAUACGGCCCAGACUCCUACGGGAGGCAGCAGUGGGGAAUAUUGCACAAUGGGCGCAAGCCUGAUGCAGCGACGCCGCGUGAGGGAUGACGGCCUUCGGGUUGUAAACCUCUUUCAGCAGGGAAGAAGCGAAAGUGACGGUACCUGCAGAAGAAGCGCCGGCUAACUACGUGCCAGCAGCCGCGGUAAUACGUAGGGCGCAAGCGUUGUCCGGAAUUAUUGGGCGUAAAGAGCUCGUAGGCGGUUUGUCGCGUCUGCUGUGAAAACCUAAGGCUCAACCUUGGGCUUGCAGUGGGUACGGGCAGACUAGAGUGCGGUAGGGGUGACUGGAAUUCCUGGUGUAGCGGUGGAAUGCGCAGAUAUCAGGAGGAACACCGAUGGCGAAGGCAGGUCACUGGGCCGCAACUGACGCUGAGGAGCGAAAGCAUGGGGAGCGAACAGGAUUAGAUACCCUGGUAGUCCAUGCCGUAAACGUUGGGCACUAGGUGUGGGGCUCAUUCCACGAGUUCCGUGCCGCAGCAAACGCAUUAAGUGCCCCGCCUGGGGAGUACGGCCGCAAGGCUAAAACUCAAAGAAAUUGACGGGGGCCCGCACAAGCGGCGGAGCAUGCGGAUUAAUUCGAUGCAACGCGAAGAACCUUACCAAGGCUUGACAUACACCGGAAACUUCCAGAGAUGGUUGCCCCG